AGACCAAAUGUCGACAUUUUUCUGAAAUCUUUGUUGAUAAAAGUGAAAACAUAUUCAUGAGUAGGAGAGUAGUUCCAACAAUAGUUGAUUAAACUGCAUGAGAAAUACGUCUCUAAAUCACACGUGUGAGUAAAUGAAUGAACAAUGCAGCACAAUGAUGGAAGUACAUCUGUUUGUCAUUUGAAUUUACAGGCGACGCAGAGUGUUACAGCUCCUACUUCUGAGGGAAGAAGUCAAAUAUGCUGAACACAAAGUUCAAAACACAUUUAUUAAUCUGUUCUAUGCUGGAUUUAGCAGGAAAAUAUAUCAUUACAAAGUAUAAACCAAACUUUUUUGAGUUAUGGAGGGAAGCCGCUGUGUUUGGUCUAAUGAAAAUUUUAAUGUUUUUGUUUAAAAAAAUAAAAAUAAUGGCAUGUUAUUUAAAAAGAAAAAGCAACAUGAUGAACUAAUCUAUAAAAACACAAAUGUCAUCAUUUACAAUUGAAAAUAUUUAUAAUGACAUUAAGAAAUAUUUGGUUAAAACUCUUCCAUUGUUGAAUACUUUUUUCUUUUGCUACAACAUCGUGAUAACAGAAAGGAACUGAGAGCAAGCGUGUUCACAAAUGAAGAACAGAAUGAAGCCACAUCCUGAAAAACAGCUGCUACACGACUCAUUGACCACCGACAUUUAACGGCUAAAUGCAGACGUUCAUUUUUAACAAAAAAAGAAGAAGUCCCUACGUAUCCGUUCUUAUGUAUGUGUGAAAUGUUUAAGUGCUACAUUGUAUAUAUUAACUCACGCUCACAUUGUCACUUUAAAGAAGAGAGAGAAAAGAGGAAGUGGAUGUAGAAAUGUAAACCUUGUACGGACAUAUUAGGCCGAGGAUUGCAAAAACGUUCUUUUAGAAAUAAACCGCUGUACCACAAAUUUUGUGCAACUCGUCGUACAUUUGUCAAUCGUUGUGUUCAGUGGGAGAAUUCCCCUGUUUUCAUGUUCAUGUUGGUUGUGCUGCACAUAAAAUAGAAAAUGAUGCUCAGUGCACCGGCCAUGUAAACCAGUGGUGUACAGGCUUACCUGCACACAAACAUAGUUAAUAAAUACAUGUAAUUAAUGACAUUAUUACCUGAGAUAAGUUACAUUUGGACCAUAUAAAUCAUACAUUAAUAUGGUGCAUAUUACAAAAUGAUUUGCACACUAACCUUUACAUCUCUCACGCUGCUUUACAUUCAUACUGUUCCACAGUAAAAAUAUGUACUUUACAAAUACUGUACAAAUAGUAAAUUAAAACUAAAAAAGGGCACUUAUAACUGAAGUCUCAAUGGAGGAUAUCUUCAAUCAAACAUGCUCCUGCUCAGGAUUGUAGAAUUGCCACCAGUCUUUUAUAAUUAGAUAACUUUGCUUGCUUGGGUAGCGUCACAUGAAUGUUUCACGACAAUGACUAAAUCCUUAUGAAAAAAUAAAUGCUUAAUUGUAGUCCAACCAAACCUAUAAAGGGCUCUGGUGCAACAGUUGAAUCUCUUUGGGUUUCCAAUGGUGUGCACACACUAAAAGACUAACUGCUGCUACAAUACUGCACACGAUGGUCCACAUACAGUCAUUGCUGUGAACAAAGUAGCAAAAUGAUUGUUCUUUUAUAUACGUUUUUAUAACCCCCCUCCUGCGUGGUCAAUGAUUAGCUCACUAGAGUUUGCGGGUCAGAAGUUGAACUGUGUUUCAAUGAGAGGGUUCAACUAAAAAAAUGAUCCCAGGUGGUUGUGUAAUGACACUACAACUAUCAGAUUCAUGUUUACAUCAUUUCAAGUUUACAGCGUGAAGGUAAAUACGGUCAUGAAUUAGAAACAAGAAGCAAGGAAUUAUAACAUUAUCCAACAAAAAUUGUUAAGAAAGGGGAACAUAAUGUUGCUAUUGGAAUAUUCAAAUAUUAUAAUAUCUAUUUAAUAUUAUGAAUAAUUUUCAUAAAAUCGGGGGAAAGGAAUUGAAGCUUCUGCCUUCAUCUGUUCAGUCUCUAAACCCUGUGAAUCAUCGCUCUCUACGCACCUUGGCGUACACGCACUCGUCUGCAGCUGGUUCAACAUUGUGUCGGGGUCGCUGUGAAAACUUCACUUCCCCGUACUCCACCUCCUCCUCUGCUCUCUGCUUCAUCUGCCUCCCCGGCCGCGGCCCAAUCCUGACCUCAGAAUAGGUUAAUUCCUGGUUGUCUUCUUC
ensembl:lncRNA